rnacentral:lncRNA from 1 species
AUCAGUAAGGAGCCUCCGACAGAAAUGUAGAGACGGAGUUUCUGCAUGUUGGUCAGGCUGGUCUCAAACUCCCAACCUCAGGUGAGCCGCCCACCUUGGCCUCCCAAAGUGCUGGGAUUACAGGCGUGAGCCGCCGCGCCUGGCCCCUCAAGCUGUUUCGUGGCUGCCAAUGCCAACUGGGAAAAAGACACAGUGGUAGAAAGAAUUAGAGAUGAGACGCAGACUUGAGAAUUCUUUUCAAAUUCAAGAGCAGUAGUUUGUCUCAGGAGAUGCUGGUCCUGUCUCACUGUGAGAAUCCCUAUCAUAGACCUUCCCGGGCAAAGCCCUUUCCCGGGUUCCUGUCUGAGGAGGGAGGUGAAGCCUCUUGGGUCCUCAAGCAGCGAUUCUUACCCUUUCCCUGCCUGGGUCACUGCCCAUCCACAGCUUCCCGGGGAGAACAGUGACGGGAACUAGCUGACCGCUCGGAGCCUCCAGGCCAGUCCCUUUCUGUGAAGACUCACAAGGCCUUACUCGUUGCGUAACAUCCCAAAGCCGUAGUUACGUCAUCUGUAAAAUGGAGAUAAAAAUCCCACUUCACAUGGUUGUUGGGGUGAUUAAAGGAGAUAAUAUAGGCCAGGCAUGGUGGCUCACACCUGUAAUCCCAGCACCUU